ACAGGUCACGAGGAAAACAAACAAGAUGGCGACACACGUGAUGGCGUUUUGAGGUCGCGGAGCCUGUCAUGCGGGUGAAGGACAUAGUUUUUACAACUUCUGUGGACGAGGAUAACCAGUCAAGAUGGUAGACAUUCUGCCGUGGCUCGACGAACACCUAUAUGUGCCGAUCCUCGGUGGACUGGCGUUGGUGGCCAUCAUUGCUGUCAUUGUCUGGUGCUGUGUCCGCAAGUGUAGGAACAGGUACAAGUUUCCGUAUCAACGGAUCGGAGAGUAUGAUGUUGCCCUCUCAGAGAAAAUGGAGAGAGAAAAGCAGCAGAAAAUAAUAGCAGUGAGAGAUUCUGCAUUCAUGAGCUGCCAGUUCUACCUGCGAUCUCACCCCCAGUAUGACAACGUCCAGCAGCUGAAGGACCUAGGGAGCAGGAUCGACAAGCACUGGUUCCGUGUGCGUGACAGUCGGCUGAAGGUGGACCGUGUUCUCACCACCAUCCCCAGCAACCUGAAGAUGGUGCUUCCCUUCACUCCAGCCACCAGCAAGGUCCUCAAGGAUCUCUUCAGCCUCCUCCAGCACCCGUAUGUGUUCGCCAUCUCCGAGUUAAACUUUUCGGUGGAGCAGAUGUGCAUCAUUACUGUCCAGCCAAUCAGCAUGCGGGGAUCUCUGAAGGAUGUCAUCUACCAGCGUAAGUUUACGGAAAGCUGGUAUGAAAAAUACAGUCAGAGAAAUCGCGGACUGAGUCUUCAGCAGAUCCAGCUGUAUGGCCGACAGAUCCUGGAGGGGCUGUUGUAUUUAGAAGAAAAGGGAUUUCCACCACACAGCAACAUUCACUCGGGCAACAUCCUGUUUGAAGAUGGAGUGUGCAAAGUAACGGGGUAUGAAAACAUCUUUUUGGGCAACACAUCCAGAGUGUAUUCUCUCAUAAGGAAGAAACUGAAAGGAGAGAACAAAGAGGCCAUUGACACUCUGUCCUUUGGUCACCUGCUGUUUGAGAUGUGUUUUGGUUUUGAGCUGGAUGCUCCCCAUCCCGAACCCCAGAACCUAACGGGCCACCAGUCGCCCAUCAUAGUCGAGGUGAUGAACUUCAUAUUUGAACCCGAGUCUGGAAAGUAUCCCACUUUACGAGAGGUGUCCCAGCACAUGUUCUUCAGCAGCAUCCGGCUCCAGGAGAUGAUGAUGUACAACCCAGCACCCAUACAUCUGAGUGGCACGAUGAAGAGUCUUCUGAAGACAGUCAGGAAGGGGAAGUCAAAAUCAAAGUCAAAAUCUGGUACAGAUAAGAUGAAGUCUGAGUCCAAGAGAGUGUCAAGAUCUGCUUCUGUGUCCUCAGUGACCAAUACAACUCCACCCCCACCUCCUCCCCCUCCCGGUCCCCCACCACCCCAGGGCCCCCCACCGCCACCCACACCCCCACCCCAGCCAUCCACCUCAACCUCUAGUCCCAGUAGGGGUGCUCUCCUGGGAUCCAUCAGACAGGGCCAAAGACUCAAGAAGACCAUCACUAAUGACAGGAGCACACCACGAGUUUGAACACUACUCAUGGACAUCUGGCACAGGACAUGGACAUCUGGCACAGGACAUGGACAUCUGACACAGGUCAUGGACAUUUGACACAGGACAUGGACAUCUGACACGGGACAUGGACAUCUGACACAGGUCAUGGACAUCUGACACGGGACAUGGACAUCUGGCACAGGACAUGGACAUCUGACACAGGUCAUGGACAUUUGACACAGGACAUGGACAUGUGACACAGGACAUGGACAUCUGACACGGGACAUGGACAUCUGACACGGGACAUGGACAUCUGGCACAGGACAUGGACAUCUGGUGCAGGUCAUGGACAUCUGACACAGGUCGUGGACACCUGACACAGGUCAUUGACAUCUGGUGCAGGUCAUGGACAUCUGGUGCAGGUCAUGGACAUCUGACACAGGUCGUGGACAUCUGGCACAGGUCAUGGACAUCUGGCACAGGACAUGGACAUCUAGCUCAGGACAUGGACAUCUAGCUCAGGACAUGGACAUGCAACAUGCAGAGCAGUGUAAUGAAGCUGCUGAAUUGAGGAAUCCAGAGUGAACUUGUAGUCCUCAAAGUAUCCUGAUAUGACAGUAGCCGUAUCACAGGGGCAUCAUUGGUCAUUGGAUGAUACAAUGUACCCAUAUUUGUGGAUUGAUAUAGUUACUGAAGACAAUACAAUGUUUCUGAAGACAAAGAUACUCUCUCUGUUGAUGGGUAUGUGUCCAGCUCCCUUUGACCGUGUCCAGCUCAACCUUGACACCACCUUGACAUCUCGACACUGACUGAAGCACAGUGUCAACACAGCCAGGCCUUCAGGAAGUUCACUGUCACAGAAUUGACUGUUCACUUUGUAUAUAUGAUUAACUCUAUUGUCAUGAUGAAGAUUUGCCCACUGUGCUUUCAAGUCCUCAUGCAAUCUCUUUUGUAUGAACGGUGAUCUGUUAGAUGUUGUAGUUACCCAAUACUGUAGAUUGGAACCAGCAGUUGGUUCCAGUGGUAUAGGCAUACUGUACACAUCAGUCUCUGGACAUACAGUACAAUUUAGUCCCUAGACAUACAGUACACAUCAGUCUCUGGACAUACAGUACAAAUUAGUCUCUGGGCAUACUGUACACAUCAGUCUCUGGACAUACAGUACAAUUUAGUCCCUAGACAUACAGUACACAUCAGUCUCUGGACAUACAGUACAAAUUAGUCUCUGGGCAUACUGUACACAUCAGUCUCUGGACAUACAGUACAAUUUAGUCCCUAGACAUACAGUACACAUCAGUCUCUGGACAUACAGUACAAAUUAGUCUCUGGACAUACCGUACACUUUAGUCUCUGGGCAUACAGUACACAUUAAUUUCUGGACAUACAGUACACAUCAGUCUCUGGAAAUACAGAACACAUUAGUCUCUGGAUGUACAGUACACAUUAGUCUUUUGACACAAGUACACAUUAGUCUCUGGAUGUACAGUGCACUUUAGUCUCUGGACAUACAGAACACAUUAGUCUCUGGACAUACAGUACACAGUCUCUGGACCUACAGUACACAAUAGUCUCUGGACAUACAGUACACAUUAGUCUUUUGACACAAGUACACAUUAGUCUCUGGAUGUACAGUACACAUUAGUCUUUGCAUGUACAGUACACUUUAGUCUCUGGACAUACAGUAUACUUUAGUCUCUGGACGUACAGUACACAGUCUCUGGACAUACAGUUCUCAUUAGUCUGGACGUACAGUACACAUUAGUCUCUGGACGUACAGUACACAUUAGUCGCUGGACAUACAGUACACAUUAGUCUCUGGACGUACAGUACACAUUAGUCUCUGGACAUACAGUACACAUUAGUCUCUGGACGUACAGUACACAUUAGUCUCUGGACAUACAGUACACAUUAGUCUCUGGAUGUACAGUACACAUUAGUCUCUGGACAUGCAGAACACAUUAGUCUCUGGACGUACAGUACACAUUAGUCUCUGGACGUACAGUACACAUUAGUCUCUGGACGUACAGUACACAGUCUCUGGACGUACAGUACACAUUAGUCUCUGGACGUACAGUACACAUUAGUCUCUGGACGUACAGUACACAGUCUCUGGACGUACAGUACACAUUAGUCUCUGGACGUACAGUACACAGUCUCUGGACAUACAGAACACAUUAGUCUCUGGACGUACAGUACACAUUAGUCUCUGGACGUACAGUACACAUUAGUCUCUGGACGUACAGUACACUUUAGUCUCUGGACAUACAGAACACAUUAGUCUCUGGACGUACAGUACACAUUAGUCUCUGGAAGUACAGUACACAUAAGUCUGUGUCAUGCAGGCACAGUUGCAAUAUCAGAAUAUAUUUUUCCAAUUCUAGAGCCAGUUAAUGACGUGCAAUGUAUCCAUUGACCAUCAGUCUCUGGACAUGCAGUACACAUUAGUCUGUGUCAUGCAGGCACAGUUGCAAUAUCAGAAUAUAUUUUUCCAAUUUAAGAGCCUGUAAAUAAUGUGCAAUGUAUCCACUGACCAAAUCCUGUAAAACCCUUUAUGUACAAUUCACCAGAACCUGCCUUCUCUUGCAUCAAUGGUAACCUCUUUGACUGUCCAAUCA
rnacentral:misc_RNA from 1 species